rnacentral:rRNA from 1 species
AACGAACGCUGGCGGCAUGCCUAACACAUGCAAGUCGAACGAGACCUCCGGGUCUAGUGGCGCACGGGUGUGUAACGCGUGGGAACCUUCCCUUAGGGUCGGAAUAACUCUCCGAAAGGGGUGCUAAUACCGGAUAAUGUCUUCUGACCAAAGAUUUAUCGCCUUUGGAUGGUCCCGCGUUGGAUUAGCUAGUUGGUAGGGUAAAAGCCUACCAAGGCGACAAUCCAUAGCUUGUCUAAGAGGAAGGUCAGCGACACUGGGACUGAGACACGGCCGAGAAUCCUACGGGAGGCGGCAGUGGGGGAUAUUGGACAAUGGGCGAAGGGCUGAUCCAGCAAUGCCGCGUGAGUGAUGAAGGCCUUAGGGUUGUAAAGCUCUUUUACCCGGGAUGAUAAUGACAGUACCGGGAGAAUAAGCUCCGGCUAACUCCGUG